CCAAAGGCCCUUUUCAGGGCCACCUAUCCACUCUUACGAAGAGCUG
rfam:Ailuropoda melanoleuca scaffold2498_15, whole genome shotgun sequence.